AUCCUUCCGGGUUUAGAGCCAAUGAUGAAUGGGGCGGCACGCGCCUGCGUGACGUGUGCGACCUGCGUUACGACGUGGCACAAAACCCAUCUGAGC